rnacentral:miRNA from 1 species
UUUUAAAGUACACACACUCUCUCUUUAUCUCUCUCUCUCUCUCUCUCUCACACACACACACACACACACAGAGAGAGAGAGAGAGAGAGAGAGAGAGAGGAGUGGUAUAGAUGAAUAUG